GAGGGCCGGGCGGAGACGCCUCACCCAGAGAAUUUUUCAGAAAGCUCAGAGCCAAAUUGAAUGUGAAUUGAAACCACUCUCCUGGGUUUCUGGGGUCAGGACUCUCUUCAGGUUUUCCUUCUGCAAAUUGUUGAGUACGAAAACCUUAUUUGCGGAUAUGGAGAAACUGCACGGAGAACCCUAUGAUUCUAAUCAUCUCCAGCAAGAAGAAAUGCUUUUGAAGAGACUUCCUGAAGAACCAUGAUCCUGGUAGUUGAGUCCUCGUAUGGUGAGUGAUGGGGAACAUGCAAAUUCCCUAUGUUGCUUAAACAUGUUGAAUAAAUAACAGUUGUCAAGAUGUUCCCUGGCUUCUUGGAGAGUCCCUAGUGAUGCCCACUGGAUUGCCUGGCUAUGAUCAAAGGAAGCUCUACACUUCUAGAUAGGAGGAGCUUCAGGGUAACAAUCUGGUUGAGGGUAUUUAGGGAACAUCCCCUUAAGCAAUAUUGUUAAGUUAGAAUUUAUGCUGAUUUGAGAUGGCUUGACAUUAGAAAAGGUGAUGAAGAUUACUGCGGGGGGGG